CAGAAGACUUUCUGAAGAGAGAAGAGCAGACUUGCUCUCAGACUUGAAUAUGUGAAUUUAUAUGAUUAUUUUAAAUACAAUUUUAGUUGUAUUUAAAAUGUCCAGUUGUUGAGAUUUUCUUUCACAUUUUUCACGAUGAUGAAAUUUUACUUUCUGAUUAGGAUGAACUGUUUAUGCUGUAACAAUCCUUAUUUGUAUGUAGAUAAAAUAUGUUAAUUACAAUUAGUAGCUGUGGUUUAAUACUGCCAUAGAAGAAUUUGUGCAAUAGGUUGUUUCACUUCUUUCGAAAAUUAUAUGUGAUAAUCUACAUGACUAUUUUCUAACAAUUAAAGUAACAAUAAUUUCUACAGUACACAGACUAACUCUGUGAAUAAAGCUGUUAACACUUUUAAAAUACUUACAAGAGAUUCCGGGAUUCCUGAAGAGGUAAAAACGGAUGAAUCAUCUGACAAUUAGUCAUUCAGUAAAACUUUUUAUAUGCUUCUUGUUUGUUAAUGUUCAUUUCAUAAUAUGACACAUAUUAUGAAAAACACACAUAUUAUGUGGCAGCAGAACCCUGUCCCUGAUGCUGUUUUGAGUAAUUAUGACUUCAUCCGGUAGAGGGCAGUAUUUAAUUAAAUUUAAUUUUAUCGUGUGUUAAACUGUAUUGUACUCAGGAGGGCUUUUUUCACAAUGAUGGUUUCUUAUACAUAAUUGUCAUAAAGUCAUAUUAGUCAUAAAGUUUUGAGUUUCUGUCUGGCAUCUUUCAGAUGUAGUUGAUGUAGUUGCAGCAGCUGGAAGGGAAGGGUUGUAUUGAAUGGAACGGCUGCUCAUCUUCCUCAAAUAAAUGUCUUACAAUAACUUAAUUUAUCAUGAUCUUUGAAACUUUGCAGACCUUUUACAUUCACAAUUCAAUUGUGUUUCACAAAGCACUGCCGCUUGGCAGGGUAACCCAUCCAAGUCACCCAAGGUCCUUCUGCAAGUCUACCAGGCCAAGGCAAUCAGAAAGCUACAUGUAAUGUAAUUAAAGUGCUCUAUUGUCACGCACUAAUUUUGUACUUAAUAGACAAAAAAUUCUUCAGACGGGUCAAAUUUUACAUGGUUCUCGGGCAGCCAAUGAAAACCUGGCAAAUUUGUUACAAACCUACGUGGUUCAUGCAGGAAGUAAGACUGGAAUUACUGACAACUCAUUUCAGGCAGUUCAGAAUCGAUUCUUUCGUUUGAAAGACAAUAACUUGAUUUAUCAUGACCUUUGAUAUUUAAAAUUUUGCAGACCUUUUACAUUUACAAACAGCUGUAUUACACACUACAUGAUAGGUAAUAUCCGAAAAGUUACUGGAAAUUAAAAAAUAGUUUCUUCUUGUAUCCUAGAAAUGUGACCCCUGCGGUGGAUUGGGAAAAAAACCUUGUUCUUCUUGCACUGCUACUGGAAGCAAAGUGUGCUCUGAGUGUAACGGUUCUCGUCAACGUCCUGAUAACGAGUCCUGCAAUAAAUGUGACUAUAGUGGACGUGAAAAAUGUAGUUCAUGUAGCGGCAGCGGCUUCCACAAGUGUGACACCUGUGAUGGAAAGGGACAGCUUCUCGUCUACAUCAACCUCAAAGUCAAAUGGAUCACUGAGAGGGAUGAUUUCGUAGGGCAAGAUUCGAGCGGUCUGAGAUCAGAAAAGCUGGGGAAGGUUUCAGGGAAGGAGCUCUUGAGAGAUGCCCAGAUUAUGUCUAUCCAGUGCUGGGUUUCCCUGAUGUUUCUGUUGCUCAAGCAUCUGGUGCCCGUUUCAAUAAGGAGGUUCAACCAACUCUGAGGUAAAACUUGAACUCAGAGUUUUCUGUUUCAGAACAGCUGAAUUGAGUUAGUUCAGUCGACUCUGAGUAGGUUGACUCUGAGUUAAGCUCGUGCACCACGACUAUGAAAAGCCAUCAUCAAUGGAGCUCAGAUAUUACGAUUCACCAUGGCAACAGCACGUGACAAAAUGAUGUCCACAUACAUUAAACUCAAUGCAAGUUUAAUUCUUAUCACUGUUAUAAUAUCAAAGGUGAAAACUGGCAGAACGGUAAGUUAUUGAACUAAAAGGGCAAAAAAUCAAAAAUGUGGAUGAAUUCAAAUAUUUAGGGGUUACCCUUGAUAAUACUCUUAGUUUUAAAAAUCAUGUUAAAGAGCUGAGUAACACACUGAAAUUUAAUCUUAUAAACUACAGACACAUAAGAAACUCACUUACUGUUGAAGCAUCACAUACAUAUUUAAAUGCAAUGAUUCUCCCACAUUUUUUUCUAUUGCAUGACAAGUUGGUCUCAGGCAUGUAAAACAGCCCUAAAACCACUUGAAUCAUUAGGUAAAAGUGCCCUUAAGAUUCACGACAAAAAAACACAGCAGUAUCACCACUGUCAGAUACUCACCAAAUAUAGUAUUUUAAAUUUUGAAAAACUAAUAAUGCACACAAAUGUAUGCCUAUUGUUUACAAUCAUUCAUAAUGCUACUGCUCCUCCUUUGAAAAAAAUGGUUACACUCUGCUCAGAAAAAACAACAAGAACUACCCGAUCAGUUACCAGGGGAGAAUGCUGUAUUCCUAAACGCAGGACUUCUUUUGGUAAAUCAUCUUUUUCUUUUAUUGCCAUAAAUCAAUGGAACUCACUUCCAACAGAGCUGAUUACAUGUACGGACUUUAAAACAUUCUCAUGUCACACAAAACAUUGGAUGCUGUCACAGCAAACUUGUAGACAUUUGUGAGUGUAUGUGUGAGUGUGUGUGUGAUGGGAGGCAUAUUUAUUUAUAAAAGGUUGUGGGAGGGUGGUAAAUUGUUUUAAUGAUGUAGAAAUGUGUGUAUUCAUAACUUUGUAACUGAUAUUUUGUACAACUGUGAAUUUAGUAACUGUUCAUUUAAUUAUGUUUUAUCUACCUGCCCAGGGACAACGGGUGGAAAAUAGCAAGUUGCUAAAACCUGGUGCAAUGCAUCUCUCCCUGUUAUAUACAGGGUUAAUGUUUUAUUGUGCAUCGUCCCUGUUCAAAUAAAAGAAAUAAUAAAUAAUAAUAAAUUGAACUAAUAUUCAUUUUCAUUUUAUUUUUUAUACUGGCAGAUGCAUACUAUUUGCACCUCCAGUAUUGUAAAUUAACAGGAUGCAAUAAUAUC